rnacentral:rRNA from 1 species
UACGUAGGUGGCGAGCGUUAUCCGGAAUUAUUGGGCGUAAAGAGCGCGCAGGUGGUUGAUUAAGUCUGAUGUGAAAGCCCACGGCUUAACCGUGGAGGGUCAUUGGAAACUGGUCGACUUGAGUGCAGAAGAGGGAAGUGGAAUUCCAUGUGUAGCGGUGAAAUGCGUAGAGAUAUGGAGGAACACCAGUGGCGAAGGCGGCUUCCUGGUCCGUAACUGACACUGAGGCGCGAAAGCGUGGGGAGCAAACAGGAUUAGAUACCCU